rnacentral:rRNA from 1 species
GGGGUUAGUGGCGGACGGGUGAGUAACACGUGGGAACGUGCCCUUUGGUUCGGAACAACUCAGGGAAACUUGAGCUAAUACCGGAUGUGCCCUUCGGGGGAAAGAUUUAUCGCCAUUGGAGCGGCCCGCGUCUGAUUAGCUAGUUGGUGAGGUAAAGGCUCACCAAGGCUUCGAUCAGUAGCUGGUCUGAGAGGAUGAUCAGCCACACUGGGACUGAGACACGGCCCAG